rnacentral:lncRNA from 10 species
CAGAAGGCGAAGCUGUACAGGAGGCCACUUUUCUUCUCAGCCUAGAACUCGAGAGACCUGAAAGGAAGGACGACUGGCCACAGGAGAUGUUUCACAGAGCCGCUGAAUGAACAACACAGUCAAUUCUGAUCAACUUUCCAGUGCUAUCUGGGUGUAAGUGAGUGGCCCUGGAGGUGGGUGCCUCUCCCCGGCGCAGUUUUUCCUUCCAUCACAAGCAUGGCUGAAGCUGGGUGGUGGUGCAUACAGAUUCCAGCCAGCAAGGAGGGGAAAGAGAGUUCAGAGGACUCACCUCCACUGUCCCCGACCCAGGCCUGUAGCAUCUAUAUUGGCUCCUCUCAGGUUCCACAGAAUUCCUCAAGAUGACUGAGGUUGGUCCCUGAAGAAACCAAAUUCAGUGUAAGAAAACCAACAUCACAAAGAGGACUGUGCUACCUUUCUGCAUGUGAGUGCAGAGACUGACCUUCAGAACUCAGCUGAGAGUAUUAGAAGCCUGCCUGUGGAGGAAGGCCCACCCAGGCUGCAUGCGCUUCCCUCCCCCAGGGGCAGAAGCCUGAGCAGGCAGAGGUGGGGGAAGGACAGAGCCAUGGAAUGGCCAGAGCCGGACAGAGCCAGGAG